rnacentral:tRNA from 1 species
GCCAGAGUCGCUUAGCGGCCGAGCGUCAGCCUGCAGAGUUGAUAACGAGGGUUCAAUUCCCUCCUCUGGCU